GUUUGUGUAAGCAUGCGGGCAGUACAAAGUGUUUUCAUAUGCACCAGAAUCUCAAGGGAAUACCCAACAGGGCUCCAUGUGUAAAGAGCAGACACUAAAACAUAUGGACUUAUUCUUUGCUCAUGUAAUUCUACUCCUUGUGCUUUGAAGGCAUGCAGGGCAGGACUGUUGAGCCAGGGGAGGAGAGGUGCCUGCUGCUGGAGAGGGUGUCUGUGGGCUGUGAGAUGUGGAGUCAUAUGAAACAAGGCUAUCUGAAGGAACCGGGAGAGGAGAAGGAAGACUUAACAAAGUAAGGAUAUUUCUUUUUUUUUAAUAAAAGAUAUUUGGCAGCUGUGGCAUUCUGAGCAAUAAAGAUAAGAGAUCUGUAAUU
rnacentral:lncRNA from 1 species